rnacentral:pre_miRNA from 1 species
UUCUGUUACUAAGUACUAGUGCCGCAGGAGUGCACUUGAUCUCCUGCUGCUCAAGUGCUUAUCAAUGGGC